rnacentral:rRNA from 1 species
GGUUGAUCCUGCCAGUAGUCAUAUGCUUGUCUCAAAGCUUAAGCCAUGCAAGUGUAAGUUCACGCCACGCAUUAGAACGGGCGAAACCGCGAAUGGCUCAGGAACCGGACCUAAUCCUCGGGACCGUAAUCCUCCUCGGAGGCGAUGGAUAACUGUGGCAAUUCUAGAGCUAAUACAUGUGACACAGGCCGCGAUCGGUCGGCGCGUCGUCGUCGCCUUCGUGCCGUCACGCGCGUGGGCACCCGCGUCGACCGUUACGGGUCGCGGCGCUACAUAUUAGACUGAGACCGAU